rnacentral:rRNA from 1 species
CCUACGGGAGGCAGCAGUGGGGAAUAUUGCACAAUGGGGGAAAGCCUGAUGCAGCGACGCCGCGUGAGUGAAGAAGUAUUUCGGUUUGUAAAGCUCUAUUAGCAGGGAAGAAAAUGACGGUACCUGAUUAAGAAGUCCCGGCUAACUACGUGCCAGCAGCCGCGGUAAUACGUAGGGGGCACGCGUUAUCCGGAUUUACUGGGUGUAAAGGGAGCGUAGACGGCAGCACAAGUCUGGAGUGAAAUGCCGGGGCUUAACCCCUGAACUGCUUUGGAAACUGUGCAGCUAGAGUGCAGGAGAGGUAAGUGGAAUUCCUGGUGUAGCGGUGAAAUGCGUAGAUAUUAGGAAGAACACCAGUGGCGAAGGCGGCUUACUGGACUGUAACUGACGUUGAGGCUCGAAAGCGUGGGGAGCAAACAGGAUUAGAUACCCCAGUAGUC